CCCUCCUCAGGACCUGUACUUGUGUACACAUACCGUCACAUAGACAAGAUACAUAUAUGCGUAAUUAAAAGUGAAACACACACACACACACACACACACACACACACACACGGCCCAAAGCAGUGCCUCCUUGCUUCUAGCUUUGGUUAUGGACUCUGCAAUCCCAGGUGUGCUCGAUAAUUUUAUGACAACCUGACAUAAGCUAAAGUCAUCUGAGAGAAGAGAACCUCAAUUAAGAAAAUGCUCCCUGAACUCUGUGGAAUCUACGCGGGUGACAAUAGCAAAGACUCCUAGUAAUGGGGGACACCGAGCCUGAAUCAGCCAUCCUCUAUAACCAGGCAAGGCCACGAGUGGAAGGCAUGGGACACCACCCCAGCCACAAAACCCCCACCUACAGCUUAUGUCUGCAGGAUGUGCUGGCAUUAGAGUCAGGCAUAAUUGUCAUCACAGAGACAAGAGACACUUCAUCCAGCCCCUGAUGAGAGCAGAGGCAGAAUCCUGCAGCCAGAUAUUACCUGGAGCCUGGGAAGCCCCGUGGAGGAGGGGAAAGGAGGAUUGGAGGAGCCAGAGGGAUCAAGGACACUACAAGAACACAGCCCAAAGAAUCAACUGACAGGAGGCUAAAGGCCAUCCUUAUCUCCCAGGUCUCACGAAACCCUAAAAUCUACGAGGAGCAAUCUGCACUGCAGCGUCCCUAGCAUCGUUCAGAGCCGCUUCUCACGUUUUUCUGGGGCAAAAGUUCCCUGCAUGGCUGAUUUCUGGAUCCCAGUAGGAUGCUGCUACCUGCAGAGUUGAAGAGAAAGAGCAUUAUGUAUUGGGAGUGUUGAGGCCAGAGGGACCACAGAGGAUAUGCUGUGCCUACCAUUUGUGAGAUGGUGAGGGCCCUGGGGAGCUUUCAGGCGGUGUAUGUGGAGGGGGAUACCAUGAGAGGGGACACAGCAUCACCAACAAAUGCUUUCUGAAUGUGAAGAGGGGCCUCUGUCCAGUGUGCCUCAAACCAUGACUGCCUCUCCUGGGUCUGCGGCCUCCACCUUCUGCCCAGGGACCGACAUUCUUCAAGUGUGUCAUGGAUCAAGCGGAUUCUGUCUCUUUGAAGAAUUUCCCCGGGAGCUGUGUGUCACACCAGUGCAUCCAAAGAGGACAGAAAUGCCUUCUGUCGCCAGGUGGAAGGAAAGCGAGAAGGGAAUGCCGGGAGAAGCUUCAUGAAGACCUGGUUUUCCAGAACGCGCUGGGUGGAAAUGACAACCUUCCAGACAGCUGUGGAGUUCACAACCUGGAGGGAGGUUCAAGAACUGCGAACCUGCCAUGGGUCUGUGUGAUGCGCACAGACAAGAGCUGUGGAGAUGUGCCCCUCCCCCGCCCCCGGGGUUAGACUCCAUUACCAACCCAAGAGACAUUGGGGCAGAGGUGUGUGUGUGAAGAUGGAAGCACAGGAGAGAUCGCUUCGGUGCAUUCUCUUAUAAGCAUCCAUGUAAAACGCCAACGCGGUACACUGGCCUGUAAUCCCAGCGCCUGCAGGGGGGAGGGUCCUAUUGCCAUUUGGCCUAGUCUUCUUGGUGAAGUUCCAAGACAGCGAGAGGUUAGAGGAACCCGAGGACGGACAUCCACGGUUGUCCUCGCUCUCUAUGUACAUGCAUACGAACGUCCCAGCACAUAGCCCUCUACCCAUACAUGAACCCACGGACAUCCACACACGGUAGAGUGAGGGGCAGCUCUGUUGACACUCUGGUAGCCAGGGAUAGCUCCUGUGGUUGAGCUAGCUCCUGAAUCCUUAGACAGGACCUCAAAAGCUGAACGUUUUGCUCAGGCAUACUGGCACACACCUGUAAGUCUAGCAUUCGGGGGAGUGGAGUCAGGAUACUCAGGACUAAAUUUAAGGCCAGCCUCAGCUACACAGCAAGAGGCUAGAUUAGGCUCCAUGAGAACAUUUCUUUUAAAAAAAAAAUCAAAAUAGACAAAAAGAAACAAAGGGAGAAUGGAAGAAAAAGAACCCCAGUAUUUACUGGACAGAAGCCGCAUUGUAGGGGCUAGAGAGACGGCUGAGUACAGAGCAUGCUUGCAAGCAAGAGGAUAUGGAUUCGGAGUUCAGGCAAGUAUACCAAAGCUCAGUGUAACGGUGCAGGCUGUAACCCCAGCACACCUGAUGGGCUGAAGCAGACAGACCCCUGGAGCUUGCUGGCAGCCAGUCUAGCUAAAAGGUGAGCUCCAGGGCAGUGGAAAACCUGUCUCAAGAUGAGGGUGGAGAGCAUGAGAAGAACACACCCAACCUUGAUCUCUGACCUCCACAUGGACAUGUGUGAGCGAGCACCACCAACCACACCCCCUCCCACACACAUGCAAAUAAAACAACAAGGUAAAAGCUAUUUUACUUUUAUUAUUUAUUUAUUUUUACCCAAAAACAGACCACUGAAACCGG